rnacentral:rRNA from 1 species
AACGAACGCUGGCGGCAUGCCUAACACAUGCAAGUCGAACGAGACCUUCGGGUCUACUGGCGCACGGGUGCGUAACGCGUGGGAACCUGCCCUUAGGUUCGGAAUAAUUCCCCUAAAGGGGUGCUAAUACCGGAUAAUGUCUUCUGACCCAAGAUUUAUCGCCUUUGGAUGGGCGCGCGUUGGAUUAGCCGGUUGGUAGUGUAAAAGCCUACCAAGGCGAAGUUCCUUAGCUGGUCGCAGAGGAUGGUCAGCGACACUGGGGCUGAGACGCGGCACAGAAUCCUAGGGGAGGGAGCAGAGGGGAAUAUUGGAAAACGGGCGAAAGCCUGAUCAAGCAAGGCCUGGUAAGUGAUGAUGUCCUGAGGGUAGUAAAGCUCUUUUACCCGGGACGAUAAUGACAGUACCGGGAGAAUAAGCACCGGCUAACUUCGUG